rnacentral:tRNA from 1 species
GCCGGAAUAGCUCAGCUGGGAGAGCAGCAGACUGAAGUAAAAGCUUUCUGAAGGUCGGGCGUUCGAUCCGCCCUUCUGGCA